GCGUUGCGAUCUGUUCCUUUCCUUCUUCGGCCGGAACAGUCUGGAUCAUUCAUCCUACAUCUGGGCCAAACGUCUGUCAGUCAAUCUGCAAACCCGACUGUCCGUCCAGGUGCUUGAACCAGCACAGUCCUCUUGAUGAGCAUCACUCAAGACGGAGAAGAAACUGCUGCACAGCGUGGCAUGAAGUAUCUUAGUUCCCUAAUCAGAGAUUGCACCUGUUCCCCCUGCAUUGGAAGCUCGGUGUCUUAACCACUGACCACCAGGGAAGUCCCUUGUUCCCUUUGAAUAAAAGGGAAUAAAACCACCUACUGACUUGG